GAGGCCUGAUAGGAGUCUGGUGGAAUGAGAAAGCUAUUGCAGCAGGCUUAGCUCCUGUAAUGGGUCUCAACAUGGAAGCAAGGCUCUAGUGAAGGCAGCCCUGGGAGUCAGCAUUUAACUAAGGAAUGGAGCAUAGGAGAAACUUAAGAGGGAUGAAUGUUCAAGUAUGAGGGGGAGGCAGAAGUGACUUAAAUAUAUAUUUCCACUUUGUGUUUGUUAGGGGGAGCUUCAGGAGAGACCCCUGUGAGCCCCUGCUCUGGAAGAAGGGUGAACCUUGAGAGAUUGGUGCCUAGGAAGACAGAGAGGUAAUGGAGCAGCACAAGAAUAUAGGUACAUAGUGGGCCCAUGAAGAGGCUGUGGGGAAGAUCUGCAGACAGGCUGAGAUAGGAAGAAACCCAGGCAAAAAGUUGGAGAGGGAGGGGGGAUGGUUUCUGAAUAGACAGACCUUGUUUGCUUACUACGGAGUUCCUGGGUUGAAACCCAGAGGAGAGGGAGGAAUUAGGUUUUCCUACAGACCCCCUGAGAUAGGUGGUGUGACUAGAGGUAGAAGGAUUAGUGAGUCUGUGAGGCCAUUUAACUUUUGUUUGUUGACUCUCUGGUACCCCAGAAGGGGUAAGACUAUAAAGUGACUUGGCUGGAGGGCUGAGUCAGGAGAAGAAGCAGUCCAUUGCACAGCUGGAGUGGCUAUUAACAGGGACCAUCAGAGAUAAGACUUACUUGCUAUGCUGUGCCUUGCCAUGAGGGAGCGCACCAGUGGGCCGGCUCCAGCUGUUUUGCCGCCUCAAGCAGCAAAGGAAAAAAAA